rnacentral:rRNA from 1 species
UUGGAGGGCAAGUCUGGUGCCAGCAGCCGCGGUAAUUCCAGCUCCAAUAGCGUAUAUUAAAGUUGUUGCAGUUAAAAAGCUCGUAGUUGAAUUUCGGGAUCGACGGGUCGGUCGCGCCUCUGGUGUGUACUGGCCCUGUCGGUUUCUCCCUUCUGACGAACCACGAUGUCAUUAAUUUGGUGUCGUGGGGAAUCAGGACUGUUACUUUGAAAAAAUUAGAGUGUUUAAAGCAAGCAUUCGCUUGAAUACAUUAGCAUGGAAUAAUGAAAUAGGACGUUUGAUCUUAUUUUGUUGGUUUCUAAGAUCGACGUAAUGAUUAAUAGGGAUAGUUGGGGGCAUUAGUAUUCAAUUGUCAGAGGUGAAAUUCUUGGAUUUAUUGAAGACUAACUACUGCGAAAGCAUUUGCCAAGGAUGUUUUCAUUAAUCAAGAACGAAAGUUAGGGGAUCGAAGACGAUCAGAUACCGUCGUAGUCUUAACCAUAAACUAUGCCGACUAGGGAUCGGACGAUGUUAAUUUUUUCUUGACUCGUUCGGCGCCUUACGGGAAAC